GGACUGAGACACGGCCCAGACUCCUACGGGAGGCAGCAGUGGGGAAUUUUGGACAAUGGGGGCAACCCUCAUCCAGCCAUGCCGCGUGAGUGAAGAAGGCCUUCGGGUUGUAAAGCUCUUUCAGCCGGAACGAAACGGUCACGGUUAAUAACUGUGAUCACUGACGGUACCGGAAGAAGAAGCACCGGCCAACUACGUGCCAGCACCCGCGGUAAUACGUAGGGUGCGAGCGUUAAUCGGAAUUACUGGGCGUAAAGCGUGCGCAGGCGGUUUUGUAAGUCAGAUGUGAAAUCCCCGGGCUUAACCUGGGAACUGCGUUUGAAACUACAAGGCUAGAGUGUGGCAGAGGGGGGUGGAAUUCCACGUGUAGCAGUGAAAUGCGUAGAGAUGUGGAGGAACACCGAUGGCGAAGGCAGCCCCCUGGGUUAACACUGACGCUCAGGCACGAAAGCGUGGGGAGCAAACAGGAUUAGAUACCCUGGUAGUCCACGCCCUAAACGAUGUCAACUAGUGUCGGGCCUUAACGGGCUUGGUAACGCAGCUAACGCG
rnacentral:rRNA from 1 species